CUCCUAGGCUCAAGUGAUCCUCCCACCUUGACCUCCCAACAUGCUGGGAUUACAGGCAUGAGCCACCAUGCCUGGUCUGUAUUUUGAAGUGGAGUGCUCAGCUCUUCACUCAGUCUCAUUAGGAGAACCCAGAAGCCUUGUCGUGAGGAAACUCAAGAAGCCCCACGGUGAGGUCCGCGUCAUAAGGAAUCAAAUCAAACCCCCCUGCCAACAGCCAGCUCAGACACGCCAGCCGCGCCAGCGAGCCAUUUUGGAAUAAAACCCUCCAGUCACAGUCAAGCCUCAAACGACUACAGCCCCAGCCAACAUCUUGACUGAAACCUUCUGAGAGAACCCUGAGCCAAAACCACAAGGCUAAGCUGGUCACAAAAUUCCUGACCAACUGAAACUGUGUGGGAUAAUAAAGGUUUAAUUUUUUUAAGCCGCUAAA